UCUCCACCUGUCCAGAAUUGGUGAGAAAUAUCUAUGAAUAUAACACUUUCUUUUAAAGUGAUAGUUCACCCAAAAAUACAAAUUUGCUGUUCAUUUAAUUUACUCACCCUCAGGCCAUCCAAGAUGUGGGUGACUUUUUUUCUUGAGUAGAACAGUAACGAAGAAUUUUAGCUGAAAAUGUGCUCCUUUAAAAAAUGCUAGUAGUGGCUGCCUGUCUUUGAGAAUAAUAACAAGCAACAUCAAAUGAAUAGUGUUGUGGGAUGUGUCUUCAAUGUGUUUAGUUUAGGACAGCUCAGUGUGUUUGUGUGAAUGAGAGUGAGUGAGUGCGCAUGUCCGAGGCACGCCCCUCGCCCCUGGCUGAUCCCCGCGAAGCAGCGGAUGAGUGUGUGAGAGGGAGACGGUGACCGGUGCAGGUAGUUAGCUGUGUGCAGCGUAUUUCAGUGCAGCCAGCAAAAUAAAGCACCUAAAUUCUUCGGCAAGACGGCCUCUUUGUUUUUUUAUAUGCUACCAUCGCACUAAGCAGCGUGAAGUUUAGGGAGUUAACCCCGGGAGGAGAACUUCCGGCCCUGGAGAAGACGGAUCUCCCCUGUGUCUCCCAACCACGGUUAGGAAACAGAAACAGGAAAGGUUAACACUGGCGACCACGAAGGGACAAAACAGGUAUUCAUUUUGUGUUCCUUGGCUUUCUUUUUUUAUUCUCAAAGAUGGACAGUCGCUGACUUGCAUUUUAUGAAUCAUCAAGGAGCACAGUUUCAGCUAAAAAUCAUCUUUACUCUUCUGCUGUAGAAAAUAAAAGUAACUUUCAUCUUGGAUGUCAGAAUGUUGGUGAUCUGGUCUGAGGAAAUAGGUCGAAGAAUUGUCGGCCCGUCAGAGUUUCUAUUUGCUGCAUUUGAUGAUGACAUACGGUUCUACACCAGCCACUAAAUGGCCUUUUGGACUUAUUGAACCUGUAUCCCACAACAUGGUUAGUGUGACCAGAGCAAGGACAGCUAGGAGGAGUGAAGUUGGAGCAACAAGCAAUGCAACGAUAAUGAUAUUGUGUUCUUUAGGACAAGAGAAAAAAAUAUAUUAACUUUUCUCUCUUGAUGCAUGCAUAUUAUGUGUAUCAUAAUUUCAAAAUAAUCAUAGUUUUAUUUUUACAGUGUCAGUCUCUAGCCCAUUGAUGAGUUCUUCCUCUUCAUGGUUCACCUUUCAAUUGAAGAUUUAACAUCCAUCAGUCCACAGUGAGCAGAAUUAUAACAACCUGGGACAACUUUCUGUACAUCAUUA
ensembl:lncRNA